rnacentral:rRNA from 1 species
GAUGAACGCUGGCGGCGUGCCUAAUACAUGCAAGUCGAACGAGGUGCUUUUGUAGCAAUACGAGAGUAUCCUAGUGGCGAACGGGUGAGUAACGCGUGGAUGACCUGCCCCAAAGUGUGGGAUAACAGUCCGAAAGGAUUGCUAAUACCUCAUGUGGUUAUCGGUUUUAGAAAGCGAUAACUAAAGCAGCAAUGCGCUUUGGGAGGGAUCUGCGUCCCAUCAGCUAGUUGGUGAGGUAACGGCUCACCAAGGCGACGACGGGUAGGGGACCUGAGAGGGUGGCCCCCCAANAAUGGAACUGAAACACGGUCCAUACACCGUACGGGUGGCAGCAGUAGGGAAUAUUGCUCAAGUGGGCGAAAGCCUAGAAGCAGCAACGCCGCGUGUGCGAUGGAAGG